rnacentral:rRNA from 1 species
UAAAGCGUCCGUAGCUGGCCAGACAAGUCCGUUGGGAAAUCCACGCGCUCAACGCGUGGGCGUCCAGCGGAAACUGCCUGGCUUGGGGCCGGAGGACUCGAGGGGUACGUCCGGGGUAGGAGUGAAAUCCCGUAAUCCUGGACGGACCACCGGUGGCGAAAGCGCCUCGAGAGGACGGACCCGACAGUGAGGGACGAAAGCCAGGGUCUCGAACC